GUGACGAUUGCUGAAAAGGCUACAAAAUUGCAGCACCUGAGCGUCAACCAAGAUUUUAGAAAUAUAGACGCCAUCAUGAACAGCAGAUCGAUUUCAGCCAUUUGCAGAAUGAAGAAUCUGACCAAACUCGAGAUUUCCAGCUUCGAGAUAAAAUACACAAGCUUGGAAUCGAUCUGCGACCAACUCACAAAAUUAUUGUACCUCGAUGUGAUCCUUGAUUUUUCGGGCAUAGAUUUGCAGGAGGAAUUGAGCAGUAAUGAGAUUGAGAAAUUCAAAUCAAGGUUCUCCCGGCUCAAAGUGUUUUUGUUCCGGCACAGUUACUCUAAUAACGAGAACAUCAGAACAUUAACGAGUCUCUGCAUGGAGCACCUCGCCAAACUGGAAUUGAUACGCGAAACAGAAUGCAUUUGCCAGUGUUGCACUAUAAGAGAACCACCGCUACCUGCUGAGACUUCAUCCUUGCGCCAUUUGAGUACGGCCAUAUGCGAUUUGGACCUGCAUCUCUACUACCCCAAUGUCACUGAUCUUAAGGUUGGAUGGCCAAAUUUUGUCGAUGAUCAAAGAAAGUUAAAUUCAGUGCUCCGUUUUUCCAAAAUCGAAAGUUUGCUCUUGGAUAUUUUGCCGUCAAUUUCAACGUUCAACAAAAUAUCUGCUGCAUAUGGAGCGAAUCUGCAUACACUAACUUUGGACUCACCGGAGGUUGAAUUUAAAUUGAGCGCAGUUUUUGCAGCUUUCCCGAACCUGAGGAAGUUAGCUUUGAAAUAUGUAACAUAUGAGGAUGAAGAUAAUGAGCAAAUCCAAUAUUCACAUGCUAAAUUAAGAGAACUGGAGUGGAUGCCAUGUAUAGACGACUAUGACGACGACCUUAAUUUUAAGGUGUCCAAAAUUCUGUCAGCGCCAAACCUGGAGAGAGUGUCACUGGAAUGUUGCCAUAAAUUGAACGUAGAGGACUUGAAGAAACUGACGUCAUUGAUCGAGAGCAAACAAGUCUUGGGAAAACUCUCAAAGCUCAGUCUAGAAUUUUCCGAUAAAUUUGUAUACGGAGUAACCGUUCCAUUUUUGAAGGCGUUUAGAGACUUCAUUCAAAUGUCUUCAGCGUUUCUCCCCGAACUGGUCGCUUUGGAAUUACAGAUUGGUGAUUCUGAUCGAGAAUUGAUAAGCCGUCGUGAAGAGCAUGUUCCUAUUAUUGGGGAGAGGUUUCGCCAGUUGAUUGGCGAUGGUAGUAUCACUCAGUUAAUCAGUGCAUUCGCUUGUUAACUUCGCUUUAGAAGAAUAGAAUAUAUUUACCGAGGUUGUAUUCCACCACUGAAUCAAAAUCACUUGAUUUGCUGUUCAUUUUUAUGUAGAAUAGCUUUGAAAUAAGUAUAUUAUAAUAUUAAUUUUUAGCCUGAUAUUAUUUUUUUUAAUAAUGUUGUAAAAAUAUUGUGGCAAAUAAUUUGGUUUUGCUAUCGCUAACGGUUCGUGGUUUUACUCUUUUCUACGUCUUUUAAAAUAAAAUUUAGUAUCGUUUAU